rnacentral:lncRNA from 1 species
AGCGUCCUGCUCGUCCUCCGCGCACCUUCCGCUGGGCUCCGGAGCGCCGAUCCCUCCGGAUCACGGGGCCCAGAGUGAGCCUGGCCUGGUCCUCUGCUACCCGGCUGGACCCUGCUGGCCAGGUGCUUGAACCGAGCGGCGUUGUCUGUGUGUAACCGCCAACUUCGCGGGUCACCGGAGAGAGAGGCGCAAAGAUCUGGGCGGAAAAGGCCAAUGCUCGUAUUUUUUUUUAAAGACCCCACCCCCACCCCCUAAGUAUUAAACUACGGUUUGCUGUUUACACACUAGACCUUCAACGGGUUGGCUCACGGUUUUGAUUCAGGAACUUUAAAUAGGAUAAACUAGAGGAGACAAUAGUCUUCCCACCGGUUUUUGUUCCAUGUUCAUGAGGUCGAUUUAGAAACCGUUGUGUUUGCUCUUACUUUGUUCUCCAGAUUUCCAGAACGGCAGGUCUCACCAUGCAGGCCAGGCUGCUGACCUGGCGUUCACUGCGAUCAGGCUGAACCUAAACUCACAGAGAUCUGCCCACCUGCAGACUGCUCCAAUCACAGAGGUGGGUCAAGCCUAUCUAAGAUGUAACUUUUUUUUUUUUUAAUCAAAUAAAAGCAUGGAAUGAGAGUUUCCAUCAUAUCUUUGGUCA